AAUUUAAUGGUAUUAUUUCUUAGAUGAGUGCAAAACAUAUCCUGUUGUCAAACCCAAGGGGGAAGGAAGGGAAAGCAGAAGUUGAACAAAACUUCCAAUCCAGUGCUGCAGUGCUUUAUAUCAAAUAGACACAUUUUUAGAAGUAGAGAGGAGAGAGUAGAGAGUAAAGAGCAGAGAGUAGAGAGUAGAGAGUAGAAAGUAGAGAGUAGAAAGUAGAGAGUAGAGAGCAGAGAGUAGCAGAGCGAUGGUGUCGGUGCUGGGUGUGAACAUGAGACACAUUCUCCGUGUGCUAGGUUUUUUCUUGCUCCUCUACUGUGGACAUGCUCAAGAUGCUGUGUUGACCAUUGAACCAAACUGGUCCACUUUGUUUACUGGAGAGUCUGUUACCUUCAUAUGUGACAUGAGGGAAGGAAAAGACACCGACUGGUAUUACGCAGUCUGGAAGGAUGGU